CUUUUGUAUACAUGGAAAAUCCCAUAUUUUCCUAAAGUAAUAGUUAGCCUAAUGUCCCAGACUAAAAACCGAAAGCAAAAGACAUGCUUUAGAAGGUUGAAGCAUAGAUUUAUAUAAUGAAACCUAUUAGAAGAUUUCAGUUUGUUAGNGCAUAAUACCAUAAUAAUUGUAUAUCCGAUGAGUUUUAUAACCAUACUAAACAUAAUAUGCCUGUAGCGACGUUCUUCAGGCGUCGUAGCGUUAUGACAACUGUCACCCCAAAAGACGGACUGUAGCUAACAGUCAGGGCGCGGGAUCAUGACUUCCCAUAUAGAUCUAUACACAUUUGACACGUUCUCCGAACGGGAGACUCUGGUUAUAGACAGGACUUGUAGCGAUACCUUCUAGCAAAAAGGAAGUGUUUGAAGAUGUACUUGUCUCCCGGAUUCUCAACUAAGUCUGAAUUAAAUUAAUAGUUUUGUAUGCAAAGAUCAUCCUUUCUCACAAAGUUUUGACAAUGCAUAAAUCAUAAGUUUUUAAAAUGUAUUAAAACGGUUUAACAACGAAGGAUACUUUGGAAUUUCUAAAUACUUUGUAUAAAUCUAGUGCAUGCAAAGUAUGACAAGAGUUUUCACAUAGUAGUAAUAAAUCACAAGUGAUUCAUUUGAUAAAAACGAGUAAAGUGAAAUUUUUGAUGUAGAAGACAAGUUUGUAAACAAAACAUAUAUAUGUAUAUGGUUAUAUAUAUGUAUAAGUUUUAAAAGAUGAUUUGGUAUGUUUCGUAAUUGUUGUUCAUAUUCUUACGUUUUUAUUAGAAACUUUGCGUGAAAUAAUCCUUAAGUUUGAUACUAAAGACCUUUUUGUACUUAUCAAUUUUGUAAAAAUGGUAAUAAAACAUAUUCAAAUGAUCGUGUUUUAACUUCCUUAAUGUAUAAACAUUGCUCAAAAAUGUUGGAAGGUGUUAAUAAAUCUAUAAACCACUUUUGACAGUUUUACCCUUUACUGUCCCUGUUUUUAGAAAACUCAUACAAAAAUCAUCGUAAGUUAAAAAUUGAAUCCGUCACCUCUGAGAGUUUAUAAAAUGAGUUUACUUUGUUUCCAAUUUUUAUUAUGAUUUUUAGUGGUCUCAAACUAGUGUGAAAAUGAACAUCUUCACAGACUGGUCCGAAAUCACUUCUGAAAUGACAGGCAGUUUUAUAAAAAUCGCCAUAAAUUGUAGAAAAAUCGUAUGAACGCGUGCGAGUAGUCCUUAGAAAGGUAUAAACUUGAACUAUUUUCAUAUUGUACAGUUUUGAAAUAUAUUAAGUUUAAGAUGGUCAAAACAGUCCGUGAACAGGACUCAACUUUUCUGUAGAAAGCUGUCAUUUAAAUUUAAGUUAUGUUUAGUGUUCUAACUUGUAUUCCCCCCCUUAAAACUUGAAUAAAACAUGAAAAUGUAGGGGUAUGAACUCACCUUAUGUGAAUACUUGAAGAAUGGAAAGUUGAAGAUGAACUUUUGGUUGUUGGUUUGAUGCUCCAAAACAGCCACUCUUUUGGCUAUGUUGCUGUCACGAAAAUUUCACAGCAAAAGAGCAAGAAAAAGGGUAGUUUACUCACUGUUUUGAAUCAAUAAUUUUGAGUAUCAUAACAAGUAACUUCCAGGGGUAUUUGGUGGUAAAAAUAUCAAGCAAAAGGAAGGUGUAGAUGGGUGAAAUGGUGGCUGAAACACAAAAGGGACAGCAGCCCUUUAGUUCAUGGUUUUGAUGGCUUUGGAAGGAAGUUCUUGUGCUUGAAAAUGAGAUGAAGGUUGAGAGUAAUUCCCUGGAGUAUUGGCUGGUCAAAUGAGGGUAAAAUGAAGAGGAAAUUUCGUGGUUAUGAAGGAGGAAAGGGUGGAAGAGGAUAAGGGGACAAAACCUAGACUAGCUUGUGAUGGGAUGUGAGUUUAAGUGAUGUGAUCUUGUCUAGCCACUUGCUUGGGUGGUUGUUUAGAGAUAGAGUUAGUUAACUAACUAACUACUAGUUAUUUAGUUAGUUAGGAGUUCUAGUUAAGGAGAGGGAAGGUCUUAAUCUCGAAAAUUAGAAGAGGGAUUAAUAAGCAUUCUUAGUAAAAUGUCUUAAGUGAUUAAGCACUUAUUAGUUAAGUUGGCACUUAUCUCCACCAAUUCUCUUAUCUUAAUUGAUUUAGACAUCAUAAAACUUACAUGAAAUCAUUUUAAUUCAUGACUUAUAACUAGUCAUUCACUAGAUAAUAAUACAUAUAUACAAAUACAUACAUGUAUACUUAGUAUAAAAUAACAAUGUAGUUUUUGUGUAUUUGAACUUUAAUGUUUAUGUUUUAUUCUUUUUAUUCAAAAACACUUAAAUACAUUUUAAUUAUACCUUAUAAUAAUUCAUUUUAUAUUUUAAUUUAUUUAAAUAUAAAAUUUAUUGACCAAUGUAUAAUUUCGUGACAUUUAACCGGUUAACCAUAUCGUUAAACACGUUUUGUCACUUUGGUUCGUAUAUUUGUCGAAUUUAGAUCCUACACAACUAUUAAGCACACGUUUUACAUAGAACCUAACUUAAUUAUCAACUAGAUACAUGUUGAUACAAAAAUUAAGUUUGUUGCGUUCAAAUGAUGUUAUAUGCUAAUUUCACAAACCGGUGAUGGUUCGUAGCCAUACAUCAUAACGAAAUUUAUCAAUAGCUACUUGUUUUAUAUUUCACAAUAACUUAUUUAAAUAAAAGAGGUUAAAUUCCUUCAACCAUUCUUGAUAAAAUACUCAUAUUGCUUAAUAAUCAAAACAUAGCAUCGUACGAUCGUUCCUAUUUUUACCAAUUGUUACAUUCUCCCCCCGUUAAAAGAAUUUCGCCCCGAAAUUCAACUUGUAGACGGGAUAUCACUAAACAAUUGGGGGGUUUUUUUUGAUCCUCGCAUUCCUUAGUGAAUUUCGGUCCUCGCUUGGCGUUCCAACGAGCCUUCACUAUGGGCAUGCGACUUUGUUUUGUCCUUUUGACCUUCUGAUCCAUGAUUUCCACCGGUUCUUAGAUGAAGUUUAGACUCCCGUUGAUUUCAAUUUCAUCCAGUGGAAUAACAAGAGUCUCAUCAGACAAGCUCUUCUUCUGAUCCUGGGAUGCAUUCAAUCGUUCACGGGUUUGAAUAAUCUUCUCUGUAGUUUCUCGUAUGAUCUGGGGGCUGGUGAGAGUGUUGUUAGGAACUUGCCUGUUAGCUAUUUGCAUGUCACCUACCUCAGCCCAGCACAGAGGCGAUCUACACUUGCUUUUGUAGAGAGCUUCAAAUGACGCGACUUUGAUAUUAACGUAAUAGUUGUUGUUGUAUAAGGAUUCGAUGAAUGGUUCUUCCGCUUUGUCUGUCAGUUUGAGGGUGAUAUUAAGGACUUCUUUAACGAAUAUCGAAAACACGAGGCAAAUCACCUAUCCCUUAACCAAAAUGAUAGAUAGUGGUAUACUCUGCACUCUCGCAAUCUUCUUGUGAUAUGCUCCUGUCAGCUUUUCUAUUUUUCUUUGUAGCCUUGGUCGGUAGAAAGUGUGUGGGUUUGGUUGAUUUGUCUACGAUCGCUCAAGUGGUAGCAUGUCCAUCCACUGUCCUGGGUAACUUGUCAUGGAGUUCAUGGUAUGACUCAUAACUGAUUCAUCUAUCAUCUCUUUGUGUUUAUAAGUCGUAUAUAAUUAAGAUUGAAAAGACAGUCGAAUCGGUGAUUCUAUUCUAAGCCCACAUCCAAACAAGGAAAAGGAUUUAAAGCGAAAUUACCAACCCUAAGUACGUAGAAUUUUAAUUAUAUAGGCCUCCAAUAUAUACACUUAUUAAUCAUAGAUUCACUAGUAUGGGUCCAUAGUCUCCACUUGAGUGGGGUGAUUAACUUGGGUGAGAUGGCAUUUACAACAACCCUUUUCCACAACUACUGCACUUAGGUUGAUUUUUGAACUCGGGUUGCCGUACGGAUGGUAUUCCCAUGAGAUCUUCUCGGAAUAUAUCGAGAAGGUUACCGGCUUUUCCAACAUCCAUGGCCUCUUUCUCUUCUUGUUUCUUAUCCACAGCACGGGCUAGGACGGCGUGGUACCUCCUGUGUAGGUACUUCUGAGUCUUGUUGUAAAAGGUGAGUCGGGGGAUUGUGUCCGGUUUGUCGCCAUAGACAACGAGGGUUCUAUUACUCGAUGGGUUUAGGCAAAUGGCCUUUUCUUAAUAUAUGAUAUCGGUAUGGUGAGGAAACUAACUAAUACGUUGUUAAAAUGAAAAUGUCGUAAAUUUUUAUUGUGACCGGUGUUAGGAUGAUUUGAAUGAAUUGGUUGAUUUAGUGUUAGAGUGCACCCUAUGUACACGUCUCUAGUGCUUUUGAUUAUUCCAAUUCUACUGUAAAUAUUUCGUUUAAGUUUUUGAGGUUUUUGGUUGAGAAAUUGAUUAAAUCUACGACUCACAAUACUCCUCUCCGCGUUGCUAUUAUAUAGUAUCCAUGCAUAUGUGCUAUCGGGAAUGAACGUACCGGAAUCUCAGCGGGGUCUAUUACUUCUUUCCCACGCUCUGUUGCUAAAACACUUUCGAUGCUCCUGACGUCUUUGUUUUUAGUCUUCGGGAACUCCUUUAUGAAAUGUCCUACUUCUCCACAUCUAUAGCAAGUCCGACUCAUCCCAGCUUUUGUGUUCUGGGCGGUCUGUUGAGCCGGCACCCUACAUAAAUUUGUGGUAUGCCCCUUUUCAUUACAGUUCUUGCAGUGCAUUUCCCUGCACUUUCCUUUGUGAUGAAAGCUACACUUGGUGCAUUUUGGCAGGUUUCCAACAUAUGGUCUUGUCGGCACUGAGGUAGUAGGGAUGGUGGUGGUAUGGAAUUUCACUAUUUGUUGUCUUUUGGUAGGUCCUUGAUUUGGGGCGUCGUUGCAGGAACAUACUCGAGGUGUCCCUGGUUGUUAUUAUGAUUGGAACUUUCAGCGUUGUUCCCGCUUUUGUUUGUGUUGUUAGUGACGAGGUGUGCCAUGACUGCUGUCACGGCGGCUGUUACCACAAUUUGAAAUGUUGUAGGGUCUAUUUAUAGAACUAGUGUUGCACCAGUAUGCUGAUUACCUUCAUGUGUCGGCAUGAUUCUAUUUCGCGAGUGGCCUCCUCUGUUCUCAGUUCUGUGAUGACUGUCCAGGUUGUAGCUGUAAGGGUUCUUUGUCCUAUAACGACUAUCUCCUUUUCUAAGGAGUGUAGGUGAUCCAUAUUGUUCUUUUGAUCUGCUUGCCGGUCUAUGGGUGCUAUGGCCCGAAGUACGGUGCAGUGAGUUUAUGUCGGUUGUGGAUCAUCGGUUGUCCUCUCCAGUCUAUAUAUGUGGCUAGGUAGUUAAUUGCGGGUUGCUUCCUGAAAUGAGAGGUGGAGGUUCUCACAAUCCUCUUGAUAGGGUAAGGUUUAUUGAUGGUAUCUCCCGAAAUUCUUUCUCCAUCUAGUCCCUUCUCGGAAAUCUUCUUCCUCGUAUUUCAUCUAUUGGUACUCUUCGAAAUCUUCUUCUGGAUCCUUCUUGAUCCAUCUAUUGGCUUCGGUGGCAGGAUAGUAGGGGUCUAUGUGGAGAUGAAGUCUAGCUGGUAUGCCUAUGCGAGAAUAGGGGUAAGAAGCAUAUAAAGAAUCUAAGUGUGUGGUUCUAUUGUAAUGCAAAAUACUCCUAUAUUAUUUUAAAUUUGUAUGUUAAAGUUUUCUUUGUAUGGUUUGUUGGUAAGUUUUUAAAUUUGUUGUCCACUGCAGACACUCCUCGGCACACGUUAGUCGGCUCUCGGACAAAUAUAGUUGAUCAGGCUAUAUCCUUCCCAGUUCCGAUUACAUGUCCCAAGGCGUACCUGCACUGCACAACUUAUUUAUAAUACUUCUAAAAUGGUCCGAUGUGAAACUGUUAUUAGUACGAAAUGAAUGCAUGCUUACUUUACAAAAACUAAAUAAAUUUAAUUUCAAAAGUAUGACUCUUCUCAGAGUGUUUUUGCCCAGUUGAGUUUAUAGUUGUAUACCAAAAAUGGUUUUGAUAUACUUAAUUCACUAUAAACGAUGCUCUGAUACCAAUCUGUCACACCCCCAAACCAGAACGGCGGAAACGUUCGGGGGCGGAGGACGUCAUAUUCAGUAUCAUAACAGUUCAUAGAAAGGAAAGUACACACCACCAUACAUAUAUAAAGGUUUUAAAAAUGUUUACAUCAUUGUAUUCAUUACAUGCUCAAAAGAUAAAUGCAUAAACAUCUUUCAAAAGAAGUAAUUAACGCCAGCGCGUUAAUCCCCAAAAGUUGAUUUCCAAACCUGCUUAGCGGUUCCCUGAGAAUACAAGUUAUUUCAAAGAGAAAGUGUCAACAAUUAAGUUGGUGAGUUCAUAAGUGGUUUAGAAAGUUUGUAUGCCAUUCCAAAUUGAGUGUAUGUUUUCCAAGAAAAUCCCUUAUUUUCUUAUAAAAGUGUGAAAUGCAUGAGAAUAUAUGUAUUGAAUAAUAUAGAUAGUUGAAUCAAGAAAAUCCCUUAUUUUCCUAUUAGUUGUUUGUUUUGUAUACAGGGAAAAUCCCAUAUUUUCCUAAAGUAAUAGUUAGCCUAAUGUCCCAGACUAAAAACCGAAAGCAAAAGACAUGCUUUAGAAGGUUGAAGCAUAGAUUUAUAUAAUAAAACCUAUUAGAAGAUUUCAGUUUGUUAGAUGAAGAAUAGUUUUAAUAACUACUCAUUCAUCAAUCAGAAGUACUAUAAUAAUUGUAUAUCCGAUGAGUUUUAUAACCAUACUAAACAUAAUAUGCCUGUAGCGACGUUCUUCAGGCGUCGUAGCGUUAUGACAAACUGUCACCCCAAAGGACGGACUGUAGCUAACAGUCAGGGCGCGGGAUCAUGACUUCCCGUAUAGAUCUAUACACAUUUGACACGUUCUCCGAACGGGAGACUCUGGUUAUAGACAGGACUUGUAGCGAUACCUUCUAGCAAAAAGGCAGUGUUUGAAGAUGUAC
rnacentral:lncRNA from 1 species